rnacentral:lncRNA from 1 species
GUCAUUAAAACAUCCAUCGGCGCAACCAGAAGUCCUUCAAAGCCCAGAUAUGGAGGAACGUUGAGGAGGGGACGGUAAGUCUGUAAAUGACAGUCUGUUUAUGAAGACCUUGCGAGUUUGAAGAUUUAUGUGUAGAAAAAUGAAGUUGUUAGACGCCUAUAUCAGUAUAGAUCAGUUCUAUAUCACAGUCACUCAUUCAGCUGAAAUGGUCUAAUGAUGUCUAAGUUUGAAAUGUUCCUGCUAUUUUCCAGCUAUUUUAGGGCGGAGUGCCGGACUGUUUGUUUUUGUCCACGCUGCUCUCGUAUGGAUGGUUCCUCCUGUAUUAGAUCGGCAGCUUUAUUUGUGGGAUACAAUGCCAAUUUUAAACCAUUUUUAACCAUUUCUUUUCAUAUUCCUUUAAGAAUAAGACCCACUCAUGUGCCUUCGGAUUCAUGUCUACUGCAAACAACAAUGAACCCUUCAAAGUCCAGAGAUCUUGCAUUUCCCUUUGAGGGAGGGUCAUUUCCUUCGCUUUCACGGGACCGCAAGCCGGAAGGGCCCGCCGUCCCUGUUCUCCAGACGUCCUUCAGCCACCAACAGGAGCAAGGGCGGGAGCUCCACAGAGCCGAUGGAAGAUGUUGCCAGUAUGCAGAGCACCCUGAUGCUGUUCCUCUUUUGAAAAUGUACCAGUGUCUGAAGACUCCAAUAGACAGAAUCAACCUCAUCUCUUCUUCACGGUGUUUCGGGGAGAUGACGCCUUGCGCAGCAGCACCAUUUGCGACCGCGGCGGCGAGGGCGGCAGACAGACACCAAGCAAUUCAGAGGAAGAGGAGGGAGACUGAGGAGGUGUACCGGCAGGACUGUGACACAUGGUGAUGAAGAUGCUGAUAGUUUAAGACCCGUCCCUGGAGCGGCCCAUCCAGCUGUCCCUACGGGAGAACCUGGCUGACAUCGGCCUGCGUUGCGUGGAGGCCAUGCAGGAGUUCAUCCAGGAGUAUGACUACAAGGAGAACACACUGAUCCCAGAUGAGAAAUGAGCUUCAACACGCCGACUUCACUGCAGACAACCAGCUCCACAUCACUGACCUCAGACCUGGCUAUAUUGUAGUAAAUGAUUAACAAGCUCUGCUACUGGAGGGAAAUGCUAUUGUGCCACAGCCUUUGUGUCCGUUAUUAUUAUUUUUUGAAUGCAGCGAUGUAUGGUGUCUUGUGUGGAAACACUGAAGACAUCCCUGAGCAUGGAAAUCCUGACUUUAGCAUUAGCUCCGUGCUGUUCUUUGUUCUAAUGGGUUGCAAGAUGAUUUUAAUAGGACAGCAUAUGUAUUUUAUUUGUAAGUUAUUUAAGAUAAAGAAAAAAAAGAAGAAAAAAUAGCCGUGAUAGAGGAUAGAAUAAAAUUGUGAUCCAGUGCCUGUGUAGAAGUAUU